GUCAACUACCCCUCCCUGACGGAAGGGCUUGAAAGACAUGGAGAAAAAUAUGAAAGAGAAGCAGAAGUUAGAUUGGAGAAAUACAUACACACCUACGGAUGCUCCACAAGUCCGUGGCAACUGUGAUCAUGCAUUAAACAGAGAGGAAACUCUCAGUGUGCAUGGUUUAAAAACCCCUUCUAACAACCCCGAUGUGGACAUAC
rfam:Ferroplasma sp. Type II genomic scaffold AMDT4_FER2S00019, whole genome shotgun sequence.